UGGUGUAGCAAUACACUGAUGGCGACCGGCAAACGGGUGCGGAACACGUACGCAACCUUCCUUUAACUGGAGAAUAGCCCGGGGAAACCCGGAUUAAUACUCCGUAACAUUAUGAAGUGGCAUCACUUUAUAAUUAUAGCUCCGGCGGUUAAAGAUGGGCGUGCGCCUGAUUAGGUAGUUGGCGGGGUAACGGCCCACCAAGCCUACGAUCAGUAACUGGUGUGAGAGCACGACCAGUCACACGGGCACUGAGACACGGGCCCGACUCCUACGGGAGGCAGCAGUAAGGAAUAUUGGUCAAUGGACGCAAGUCUGAACCAGCCAUGCCGCGUGGAGGAUGAAGGUCCUCUGGAUUGUAAACUUCUUUUAUUUGGGAAGAAACCCCCGAUUUCUAUUGGGGUUGACGGUACCAGAUGAAUAAGCACCGGCUAACUCCGUGCCAGCAGCCGCGGUAAUACGGAGGGUGCAAGCGUUGUCCGGAUUCACUGGGUUUAAAGGGUGCGUAGGCGGGUUGGUAAGUCCGUGGUGAAAUCUCCAAGCUUAACUUGGAAACUGCCGUGGAUACUAUCAAUCUUGAAUUUAGUGGAGGUGAGCGGAAUAUGUCAUGUAGCGGUGAAAUGCUUAGAUAUGACAUAGAACACCCAUUGCGAAGGCAGCUCGCUACACUAUUAUUGACGCUGAGGCACGAAAGCGUGGGGAUCAAACAGGAUUAGAUACCCUGGUAGUCCACGCCCUAAACGAUGAUUACUCGACAUCAGCGAUACACUGUUGGUGUCUGAGCGAAAGCAUUAAGUAAUCCACCUGGGAAGUACGACCGCAA
rnacentral:rRNA from 1 species